AAAAUCCGUCGAUUUCAAAAAUCGUGAGGGUUCAAGU
rnacentral:tRNA from 1 species